GAGGGUGGCUAUAGCGGUGGGGAUCACCUCUUCCCAUUCCGAACAGAGAAGUUAAGCCCACCAGCGCAGAUGGUACUGGCCCACAAGCCGGGAGAGUAUGUCGCUGCCCUCC
rnacentral:rRNA from 2 species